UCGGUCCUUUCACCCUGCUGAAUUUUUUAUACCGCAGUUAAGACGCAGAGAAGGCGCUGACCUGUAUUGGUGGAGAAAGUUUCCUCAAAUAAAAGAUUCCCGUGCUAAUGACACCAGGGGUGCAGGUCUUAGCCCUAUGCUGUUUUCUUCCUCGUAGGAGAGGGACCAGAGAACGCUGGGCAUGCGCAGCUUUGAUUGCCUGCCACCGAGAUGAGCAUUCCCCUCGUCAACCAUGUUCUUGAGAUUGGACUUGGCCUGCCCCUGUAAGAGGCGAGUGGGAUCCCCCUGAUUCAUUAGCCCUUUGAACCUCAAGCCCUGUUCUGAAUGCAUCGAAUGCUUUCCACUCCUAAUCCCUAGUGGGAGGAGAGGCAGAAGAGAUGGCUCUGCGGACCACCCAGAGUGUGAACUUUUCAGCGCGGGCCGGUGGCCUUAUUUGUAUUGUGCCAGAUAGCUCACAAUGAGGGAGGUGUACUUUUGUGUACUGUGAACAGCUGGGGAGAGUUUUAGGAAGUCAAAAACCGAAUACGGUGGGCUGAGAGAUUCCUUCAGCCUAUCUCCGCCGGCUUCUUUGAGGAAGAAAAAUGUCCUUGUUAAGAACACAUUAGUACUGCUAAUCUCUCAUCUGCUAUCACCUUCAGGCCCAGAUACACUGUUACUAUCCAUUGCUGCUCCUGAGAUAUGAGGUUUCACAGUACUGGAUCUUUUGCCUCAAGGUGUGUCCCAUCCGCACAUCAAGCACAUUCAAGAUGACUUCGAAGAUAUAAGAAUGAAAAUAUGGGAGUUUUUUUGUUAAUAAUUUUGAUAGUGUGUCAAAUCAUUCUCUGAUAAUAAACAUCAAAUUAGGCAUAAAACAGGAAGAUGUAUCAUCACUAUGUAUUUUUGCCAUUAUAACAGAAGCUGUCCAGCAUAGCAUCUUAGAAGAGGAUCCUCUGCAGAUGCUGUUGUUAUGCAGUAACAAGAUGAAGAACCUCACUGCCUCUGAAGAACAAAAAUGGAAUUGCCUAUUUUUAAUGGACAGAAGCGUCAUUGGUAUGAAAAAGGUGCGAUACACAUCCGAUGAGGAACUUGGAAGAAGAGGAAUAAGGUAUGUUGGAGCCAUCUCUAACCUGACUCAGAAGAGCUGAUUAUUAAACUUUCAGUUCGAGCAUAAAC
rnacentral:lncRNA from 1 species